GACGAAGGUGGCGAGCGUUGUUCGGUGUCACUGGGCUUAAAGGGUGUGUAGGCGGGAACGUAAGCGCUUUGUGAAAUCCCCCGGCUUAACCGGGGAAUUGCUUGGCGAACUGCGUUUCUUGAGGCAAGCAGGGGUACAUGGAACUCUUGGUGGAGCGGUGGAAUGCGUAGAUAUCAAGAGGAACGCCGAUGGUGAAGACAGUGUACUGGGCUUGUCCUGACGCUGAAACACGAAAGCGUGGGGAGCAAACGGG
rnacentral:rRNA from 1 species